UCAAAAUUGAUACAUACUUGAGGGGAAUAAAUCCUUAAGCAUUACAAAAAUAAAGUGUUUCCUACUACGGCUUGAUUUCUUGGGCAUCAGUUGUUUAACUGAACUUUCUUUUUGGUAUUAUUUAUAGAAACAAAUGGUUAUAAUGUUAAUACAGUGAUAUUUGUUGCUUCCUCACUGAAAUCCCUAAUUCCAUUUGGUGAUUCUCGUUUGCUCCUUUUCUCACCUGGCUGUGAUGCACUUAGGGAGUUUGGGGUGGGAUAUGUGGUACUCUGAUUCAUUAAUGAUGACUUGAAAUUGUUUUUGUUUUUUGUAUUCUUUCUCUGUACAUUUCUUUUCUUGGUAGGUACUUUGAGUAUCAUCCUUUUCUUUUUUGCAUUUGCUAGCCACACAUUGCUGUUUUGCUUUUCUCCCUAGCAAUACACUUGCAAGCUAGACCUGCAUUGAACUUGUUCAAGGAAAAUUGGGUAAUCAGCCAUGUGAAAAACUAAAGUGGCUCCUUUCUUCUUUGGAGUGAGAGUCAGUGCCUUUAUGAUAGAUUCAGUCCUGUUAAAAGAAACUUCUGACUCAUGGUCAAGGCUGGGUUCUGUAUGAAGGCCUGUCUUUGAAACAGAGAGUAUUCUGAGAGUGGUAAAACCUAAUGUAAAUUUAGUCUGUUCAGAGGACACUUUUCCUUGUGGACAGGUACAUGUAGAUAGGACAUGAUCUGGUACUGCUGCAACAUUUUUGUUGUUAUGAGGAGAGCCAGGAAGAAGGAAGUUUCGUUUUACUUUUCAGUAUGGGAAAGGGAUUUAAGUACUAUGGUUGGAGGGAAGGAGCCUUUGAAAAGAAAAUAUUGUGAUUCAUUUAUUAUUUUUUUUAAAAUUUUAAAGGUUUUAUUUUAGAGAGAGUGUGGAGGGGUGGGGCAGAGGGAGAGGGGCAGAGAGUCUUAAGCAGGCUCUGCACUGGGCUUGAUCUCAUGAUACUGAGAUCAUGACCCUGAGCCGAAACCAAGAGUUGGAUGCUUAACUGAUGUGCCACUCAAGUGCCCUUGAUACAUUUAAACGUAUUGGAAUACUUAAGCUUUUAGGAGACUGUGGUUUAUGAUUGUAAGUAAUGAUACUGUGUUUGUCCCAUAAAACACUCAUUGUUUUUAUUGAUUUACUUUCUCAGAUGCUGUAGCAGGUUUCUGUAUUAGUAAUGAUCUAUUUUAAUUGAUUAGUUCUUUAAUAUUUAUUUACUUAUUUAAAGAUUUAAUUUAUUUAUUCAUGCUAGAGAGAGAGAGAGAGAGAGAGGCAGAGACACAGGCAGAGGGAGAAGCAGGCUCCAUGCAGGGAGCUCGACGUGGGACUCGAUCCUGGGACUCCAGGAUCAUGCCCUGGGCUGAAGGCAGGUGUUGAACACUGAGCCACCCAGGAAUCACAGUUCUUUAAUAUUUAAAAAUUAUUUUUAUUAUGGUAAAAUAUACAGUUUACUAAUUUUAAGUGUAUAAUUCAGUGGCAUUAAAUGCAUUUAAAUUGUUGUAUAAACAUCACUAUUUACUUCCAGAAAAUUUUGAUCAUUCCAAACAGAAACUCUUUACUACCCCCCCCCCCCCCCGCUGCUCCUGGAAAUCUCGAUUAUACUUUUUGUCUCCAUGAAUUUGAUUAUUCUAGAAACUUCAUAUAAAUGGAAUCAUACAAUAUUUGUCCUUUUGUUUCUGGCUUAUGUUACAGCAUAAUGUUUUCAAGGUUCGUCCAUGAUGUAGCAUGUAACAGACUUUCAUUUCUUUUUGUGAAUAAAUAAUAUUACAUUGUAUGUAUAUAUAUGACAUUGCUUAUCCAUUUGUCUGCUGGUGUACACUUGGGUUGUUUCCAGCUUUUGGCUCUUGUGAAUAAGGCUGCUAUAUGAACAUUGGUGUACAAGUGUCUCAGUUUGAGUCCUUAUUUUCAGUUGCUGGAUCAAAUAGUAAUUCCAUAUUUAACCUUUGAGAAAUUACCAAACCAUUUUCUCUACCAGCCAUACCAUUUUCCCUUACUAGCACCAGUGUGUGAGUUCCACAUCUUCACCAACAUUUCUUAUUUUCCUUUUUUUGAUAAUAGCCAUCUUAAAUAGAUAAGAAGUGGUAUCUCAUUGUGGUUUUGAUUUGCAUUUCGCUAGUGAUUGGUGACGUCGACCAUCUUUUCAUGUGCUUAUUGACCAUCUGUAGAUCUUUGGAAAAAUAUUCCAGUGUGUGUGUGUGUGUGUGUGUGUGUGUGUGUGUGUGUGUGUGUGUUGUGUGUAUUCCAUUUUGUUUAUCCAGUGUUUUUGGACACUUGGGUUGUUU
rnacentral:lncRNA from 1 species